rnacentral:rRNA from 1 species
GAUGAACGCUGGCGGCGUGCCUAAUACAUGCAAGUCGAGCGAACGGACGAGAAGCUUGCUUCUCUGAUGUUAGCGGCGGACGGGUGAGUAACACGUGGAUAACCUACCUAUAAGACUGGUAUAACUUCGGGAAACCGGAGCUAAUACCGGAUAAUAUUUUGAACCGCAUGGUUCAAAAGUGAAAGACGGUCUUGCUGUCACUUAUAGAUGGAUCCGCGCUGCAUUAGCUAGUUGGUAAGGUAACGGCUUACCACGGCAACGAUGCAUAGCCGACCUGAGAGGGGGAUAGGCCGCACUGGAGCUGAGACACGGUCCAGACGCCUACGGGAGGCAGCAGUAGGGAAUCGGCCGCAAUGGGCGAAAGCCUGGCGGAGCGACGCCGCGCGAGUGAUGAAGGUCUUCGGAUCGUAAAACUCUGUUAUUAGGGAAGAACAGAUGUGGAAGGAACUGUGCACAUCUUGACGGUACCGAAUAAGAAAGCCACGGCUAACUACGUG